UCAGACGAACGCUGGCGGCAUGGAUUAGGCAUGCAAGUCGAACGGGAGCAGCAAUGCUCCAGUGGCGCAAGGGUGAGGAACACGUGAACAACCUGCCUUCGAGUUGGGGAUAGCUUCUGGAAACGGGAGAUAAUACCGAAUAACAUCACCGGAUCGCAUGAUUUGGUGAUCAAAGCAGCAAUGCGCUUGAAGAGGGGUUCGCGUCCCAUUAGCUAGUUGGUGAGGUAACGGCCCACCAAGGCGAUGAUGGGUAGCUGGUCUGAGAGGACGAUCAGCCACAUUGGGACUGAGAUACUGCCCAGACUCCUACGAGAGGCUGCAGUCGAGAAUUUUGGGCAAUGGACGAAAGUCUGAACCCCCAGCAAUGCCGCGUGCGGGAUGAAGGUCUUCGGAUUGUAAACCGCUGUCAAGAGGGACGAAACAUGACGGUACCUCUGGAGGAAGCCACGGCUAACUACGUGCCAGCCGCCGC
rnacentral:rRNA from 1 species